UGCUCUUUGAAAAUGGGAAGAAGACACCCCUUCAUACUUGCAGGAUCUCUCAUUAUCUCUGUUGCCAUAAGUCAAUCAUUGCAAUUCUAGAGCUGCGUGCUAGGUGGGGGAAUAGGAACUCAGCUAGCUUGCAUGAAUUUUGUUUUUUGGGGAAUUGCAGGUUCCAGAUGCAACUAGUGACCAUGAAAUUCGGAGAGAGUCUGUAGGAGAAGAAAGGAAUCCAGAUUCAAGCAGUGAUAGAGCAAUGGGCUGAGUUUCAAUAUGUUAUUGCAUAUUUUUGUUAAGUGUUACUCUUAGUUGUCUUCAUUAGGAACUUGAUUUUGGGCAUAUAUAACUUAAUUUGUACUUCUUCUAAUUACCUAUACUGACACUGCAACAAUUUAAUUACAUUGCAAUGAAAUAGAU
rnacentral:lncRNA from 1 species